AGAGUUUGAUCAUGGCUCAGGACGAACGCUGGCGGUGCGCCUAACACAUGCAAGUCGAACGGUGAACCGGGCUUCGGCCCGGGGAUCAGUGGCGAACGGGUGCGUAACACGUGGGCAACCUGCCCCCGACCCUGGGAUAACCCCGGGAAACCGGAGCUAAUACCGGAUACUCUCAUCCGACCACAUGGUCGGAUGAGGAAAGGUCCGCCGGUCGGGGAUGGGCCCGCGGCCUAUCAGCUCGUUGGUGGGGUAACGGCCUACCAAGGCGACGACGGGUAGCUGGUCUGAGAGGACGACCAGCCACACUGGGACUGAGACACGGCCCAGACUCCUACGGGAGGCAGCAGUGGGGAAUCUUGCGCAAUGGGCGAAAGCCUGACGCAGCGACACCGCGUGGGGGACGAAGGCCUUUCAGGUUGUAAACCCCUUUCGGCAGGGACGAAGCGAUCUCGUGACGGUACCUGCAGAAGAAGCCUCGGCUAACUACGUGCCAGCAGCCGCGGUAACACGUAGGAGGCGAGCGUUGUCCGG
rnacentral:rRNA from 1 species